UCAAGCUAAAAAGAGCGUAAGGUGAAUGCCUUGGCAUUAGGAGCCGAUGAAGGACGUGGUUAGCUGCGAUAAGCUAUGGGGAGCCGCAAGCAGGCAUCGAUCCAUAGAUUUCCGAAUGGGGAAACCCAGCUGGAGUAAUGUCCAGUUACCUAUACAUGAAUAAAUAGUGUAUAGGAGGGAACCCGGUGAACUGAAACAUCUAAGUAGCCGGAGGAAAAGAAAAUAACGAAUGAUUCCCCUAGUAGCGGCGAGCGAACGGGGACAAGCCCAAACCAAGAACCUUCGGGUUUUUGGGGUUGCGGGCCAGCAAUAUCCAUUCACAAAGGUUAGUCGAAUAGAGUUGGAAAGCUCUGCCGAAGAGGGUAAUAGCCCCGUAGACGAAAACUGGAGUGAGGUAGCUGGUACCAGAGUACCACGGGACACGAGAAAUCCUGUGGGAAGCUGGGGGGACCACCCCCCAAGGCUAAAUACUACCUAAUGACCGAUAGUGAACCAGUACCGUGAGGGAAAGGUGAAAAGUACCCCGGGAGGGGAGUGAAAAAGAACCUGAAACCAUACGCUUACAAACAGAAGGAGCAGCUUUAACUGCUGUGACUUCGUACUUUUUGUAUAACGGACCGGCGAGUUACUAUGCGUAGCAAGGUUAAGGCAUUAAGUGCCGCAGCCGAAGCGAAAGCGAGUCUUAAUAGGGCGAAUUAGUUGCGUGAAGUAGACCCGAAACCAGGCGACCUAUCCAUGUGCAGGUUGAAGCGGUAGUAAAAUACCGUGGAGGACCGAACCCACUAAUGUUGAAAAAUUAGGGGAUGACGUGUGGAUAGCGGAGAAAUUCCAAUCGAGCUUGGAGAUAGCUGGUUCUCCUCGAAAUAGCUUUAGGGCUAGCGUCGAGAUCAAGAUAUAUGGGGGUAGAGCACUGAAUGGGAUAGGGGGCCACAAAGCUUACCGAACCUUAUCAAACUCCGAAUACCAUAUAUUAUACACGGCAGUCAGACUGUGAGAGAUAAGUCACAUAGUCGAAAGGGAAACAGCCCAGAACGCCGUCUAAGGUCCCAAAGUUACAGUUAAGUGGAAAAGGAUGUGUAAUUGCACAGACAACCAGGAUGUUGGCUUAGAAGCAGCCACUCAUUCAAAGAGUGCGUAACAGCUCACUGGUCUAGUGAUUAUGCGCCGAAAAUGUCCGGGGCUAAAACUGUACACCGAAGAUGCGUCUUGAUGCAUUUAUGUAUCAGGGGUAGAGGAGCAUCGUGUGCUAGGCUGAAGCCGAAUCGUAAGAGACGGUGGACGAAACACGAGAGAGAAUGCCGGUAUGAGUAGCGAGAAUGAAGUGAGAAUCUUUAUCGUCGAAAGCCCAAGGUUUCCUGGGGAAGGCUCGUCCUCCCAGGGUAAGUCGGGACCUAAGCCGAGAGCGAAUGCUGUAGGCGAUGGACAACUGGUUGAGAUUCCAGUACCACCAAUAAUUGUUUGACAGAUGCAGUGACACAGAAGGAUAGACGAAGCGCGUUGAUGGUAGAGCGCGUCCAAGCACUGAGGCAGAUGGCAUAGUGAAGUACGUGCUGUUAAUGCUGGGGUGUGAUGGGGACAGAAAAUAAGUAUGGAAGUCGUUGAAUUCACGCUGGCAAGAAAAGCUGCUAUGGAGAUUAGAGGUGCCCGUACCGCAAACCGACACAGGUAGGCGAGGUGAGAAACCUAAGACGAUCGGGAUAACCCUUGUUAAGGAACUCGGCAAAAUGACCCCGUAACUUCGGGAGAAGGGGAGCCACCAUUUAUGGUGGCCGCAGUGAAUAGGCUCAAGCGACUGUUUAGCAAAAACACAGGUCUGUGCGAAAUCGUAAGAUGACGUAUACGGGCUGACGCCUGCCCAGUGCCGGAAGGUUAAGGGGAAGUGUUAGGAUUUAUUCCGAAGCACGGAACUUAAGCCCCGGUGAACGGCGGCCGUAACUAUAACGGUCCUAAGGUAGCGAAAUUCCUUGUCAGGUAAGUUCUGACCCGCACGAAUGGCGUAACGACUUGAGCACUGUCUCAACAAGGGACCCGGCGAAAUUGUAGUACCAGUGAAGAUGCUGGUUACCCGCGAUAGGACGGAAAGACCCCGUAGAGCUUUACUGUAGCUUGGCAUUGAAUUUUGGUAUUAGAUGUACAGGAUAGGUGGGAGACUUGGAAACUAGGACGUCAGUCUUGGUGGAGUCAUCCUUGGGAUACCACCCUUCUAAUACUAGGGUUCUAACAACGUGCUGUGAUCCAGGCGUUGGACAUUGCCAGGUGGGCAGUUUGACUGGGGCGGUCGCCUCCCAAAGAGUAACGGAGGCGCCCAAUGGUUCUCUCAGAAUGGUUGGAAAUCAUUCAUUAGAGUGCAAAAGCAUAAGAGAGCUUGACUGCGAGAGAGACAUCUCGAGCAGGUACGAAAGUAGGGUUUAGUGAUCCGGCGGUAUGAGAGUGGAAUUGCCGUCGCUCAACGGAUAAAAGCUACCUCGGGGAUAACAGGCUUAUCUCCCCCAAGAGUCCACAUCGACGGGGAGGUUUGGCACCUCGAUGUCGGCUCAUCACAUCCUGGAGCUGAAGAAGGUUCCAAGGGUUCGGCUGUUCGCCGAUUAAAGUG
rnacentral:rRNA from 1 species